UACGUAGGUGACAAGCGUUGUCCGGAUUUACUGGGCGUAAAGAGCGCGCAGGCGGUCGAUCAAGUCGAGUGUGAAAGCCCCCGGCUCAACUGGGGAGGGUCAUUCGAUACUGAUCGACUCGAAGGCAGGAGAGGGUAGUGGAAUUCCCGGUGUAGUGGUGAAAUGCGUAGAUAUUGGGAGGAACACCAGUGGCGAAGGCGACUACCUGGCCUGUUCUUGACGCUGAGGCGCGAAAGCUAGGGGAGCAAACGGG
rnacentral:rRNA from 1 species